rnacentral:ncRNA from 1 species
UGGUCNCUAGNCCUUGNAAUCAGUUUUUACUCUACUUAUACAUGCAAGUCUCAGCACCCCUGUGAAAACGCCCUUAAANCUCCUGUUAGGAACAAGGAGCUGGUAUCAGGCACAAUAAUUAGCCCAAGACACCUAGCUAUGCCACACCCACAAGGGAACUCAGCAGUAAUUAACAUUGAACAUAAGCGCCAGCUUGAUUCAGUUAAAGUAAAAAGGGCAGGCAAAUAUGGUGCCAGCCGCCGCGGUUACACCACGUGGCCCAAAUUGAUUUCUUUNCGGCGUAAAGAGUGAUUAAAGCNAAUUUUUNUACUGUAGAAAAACCACNUAUAAAGUCGUAACAAGCUUAUAGCUGGGAGACUCAANAAACGAAAGUUACUACANNNCCCAAAACAACUUGAACUCACAACAGCUAAGAAACAAACUAGGAUUAGAGACCCUACUAUGCUUAGCCACAAACUUUUAAUUACANNNNNNNNCCUGAAACGCCAGGGAACUACGAGCNAAAGCUUAAAACCCAAAGGACUUGACGGUGCCCCAUAUCCCCCUAGAGGAGCCUGUCCUAUAAUCGAUAACCCCCGCUAAACCUCACCAUUUUUAGUUAAAUCAGCCUGUAUACCUCCGUCGUCAGCUUACCACAUGAGUGAACUAUNAGUAAGUAAAAUGUCAUNNNNNNUCGUCAACACGUCAGGUCAAGGUGCAGCUCAUAAAAUGGGAAGAGAUGGGCUACACUUUCUAACAUAGAAAACACGGAAGACANNACAUGAAANAUUAAUCUGAAGGCGGAUUUAGUAGUAAAAAAAGAUCAUAGAGCUUUUUUUANACAAGGCCCUGGGNGUGUGUACACACCGCCCGUCACCCUCUUUGNCAGCCANNUANAAAAAGUUUUUAACAAAAACANNGCACAGUAGAAGAGGUANAGUCGUAACAUGGUAAGUAUACCGGAAGGUGUGCUU